rnacentral:rRNA from 1 species
AACGAACGCUGGCGGCAUGCCUAACACAUGCAAGUCGAACGAUGCUUUCGGGCCUAGUGGCGCACGGGUGCGUAACGCGUGGGAAUCUGCCCUGGUGUUCGGGAUAACAGCGGGAAACUGCUGCUAAUACCGGAUGAUAUCGCGAGAUCAAAGAUUUAUCGCCCUGGGAUGAGCCCGCGUCGGAUUAGGUAGUUGGUGGGGUAAGAGCCUACCAAGCCGACGAUCCGUAGCUGGUCUGAGAGGAUGAUCAGCCACACUGGGACUGAGACACGGCCCAGACUCCUACGGGAGGCAGCAGUGGGGAAUAUUGGACAAUGGGCGCAAGCCUGAUCCAGCAAUGCCGCGUGAGUGAUGAAGGCCUUAGGGUUGUAAAGCUCUUUUAGCCGGGAUGAUAAUGACAGUACCGGGAGAAUAAGCCCCGGCUAACUCCGUG